UGGGAACCAUAUGGCAAUCCCAAUACUUCGUGGUGAAUGGCGCGAGGACAUGACUUUUGAAGAAGCUGUUAAGCUGAUUGAGAAGUGCUUGCUGGUCCUGCUGUACCGUGACCGGUCAUCCAUCAACAAAUUCCAGGUUACAACUUGUCAUUCUUAUUAGUGAACUCACUAUCGCCUAGAAGAAAGUUUGGCAGAUUACGGUCUGUAGCUACUGAAUUGUUGUAACAUUAUGCUUUUGCACGACAGAUUGCCAAGAUCACAACCGAGGGAUCAACCAUCUACCCGCCGUAUGCCCUGAAGACCAACUGGGGGUUUGCCGCCUUUGAGAACCCAUCCAAGGGUGCUGUAGGAACAUGGUAAGGCCAUGAGCUAGGAAACGAAGCAAACUGUGCUGCUGAAACAGUUUCAGCCCUUGUGAGCGUUUGAUCUGAAUACGACUGGACUCCACAUUUGCUUUGUAUGACAUGUUUAUAAUUUGACUUAAAGUCUUGUGAACGUUUAAGGUAGAUCAUGUCUUGUAUGAUGAUGCCUCUUCACUCUGGAUCAAUCUGGAGUGCUGGCCGAGGGUGCAGUGCCUGCUCCCAAACCGCGCUCCAU
rnacentral:lncRNA from 1 species